rnacentral:rRNA from 1 species
GGGAACGUGCCCUUUAGUACGGAAUAGCCAUUGGAAACGAUGAUUAAUACCGUAUACGCCCUAUGGGGGAAAGAUUUAUCGCUAAAGGAUCGGCCCGCGUUAGAUUAGGUUGUUGGUGGGGUAAUGGCCUACCAAGCCUACGAUCUAUAGCUGGUUUGAGAGGAUGAUCAGCAACACUGGGACUGAGACACGGCCCAGACUUCUACGGAAGGCAGCAGUAGGGAAUCUUGGACAAUGGGCGAAAGCCUGAUCCAGCCAUGCCGCGUGAGUGA